AGGCCUGUAGCUCUAAUUGGAAGAGCGGCGGACUCCAAAUCCGUAGGUUGGAGGUUCGAGUCCUCCCAGGCCUG
rnacentral:tRNA from 1 species